rnacentral:lncRNA from 1 species
CGAAGACGUUGCCGCUACGAUGAACCAACUCAGGCGGUGUUCUCGUCUUUCUUGGUGGCUUGCAAUGGCGUUUGGGCCGUUCUUCUUCUCCUCUUCUUUCCGUUCUGGUUCGUGAUUUACAGAGGAGAGACUCCAUUCUUCUUCUUUGGUUGUGGGUUGUUCCGCAGGAGAGAGGCGAACUCCGGCAGCGACGACAUUGUGCUAGCGGGCCGUUGGCGC